GUCAUAGCCAAGCACACAGCACCUCUGCCUCCUUCGGGGCCAUAUGGGUGGGGUGGAAUUCACAGUCACGUGAGGACACAGCAUCUGGACAAGUCCUCUUUUCCUGCAAGUGUCUGUGCAGAGCCCCGAGUUGCUGAGCACUAAAGCUGCCUCUCAAGCUUGGAGAAGGGGUGACUGAGGUCUUUAGUGUCCUGUGUCUCCCCGCGAUCCCCAGGCCAGCUGUUCACCUACAAGCAUUGAGCACCAACUGUAAGCCAGACAGGGUGAUUCAGGUGGGGCCCUGUCCUUGAGGAACUUGUGGAUUUGGACGUGGACUCUUCCUGACAGGCCCCUCAUGAGUGACCGGGUCUGUAGGCUUGCUCUGGUCAGUGGGGGGCCAUGGGAGCCAGGCCACAUCACACAUGCCCAUCAUAAAGACCUGCACACCUCACACAGGUGUCUGUAGGUACGUGCAUGUGCACGGGUGUGGGACUGGAGCACGUGGGUUCACGUCCAUGAUCAUAGAUGUCUGCACAGGCCCUGCAUUGAAUUGCGGAGCUCCAGGCUCUGGUACCCAGGUCAGGACCUUGCGUGUGUGGCCUCUGUGAGGGGCCCCAGGUUGUUGAGGGCUGAGGCUAUCUUCCAAUCUGGGAGAAGGGGUGACUGAGAUUCUUAGGGGAGAGACAUCACCCUGUCUUGGAGGCCCAAGUACUGUCACUGAGUCAUGAGAGUCCAUGGGAGUUUGAGUACUGUGCCCCCAUUUUGUGGAAAAGAAAGCUGAAGCCCAGAAGGGGCCCAUGAUUUGCCCAAGGUCACAGAGCAAGUUGGGGGAGAUCUAGAAGGGGAACAAGCCAGACCUUGGCACCUGUCUACCUCCUUGACCUUUCUGGACUGGCAUUUGGGGUUUGGCACCCCCUGAUGACCACAGUGCAUCAAACUCUGGGUUGAUUCUCCCAGCAAACCACCUGGGGACCAACCACAGGGUCCUCCUAUACCUCGCCAUUCCCAGGAAGUUUCCCUGCACUAUAUCUUUGCUUGGGUGACCUCACUGCCUGUAGUUCCCUCUCUUUCUCAAUCAGUCUCUGUCUCUCUCUGAUUCCUCAAAUAAGAUCCAAACUUCCAAAUUCUGCUUAAAUGCUUCCUCUACCUUCUUUGACCCCCUGGGACUUUUCCCCUACCUCUGGCCUCUCUUGGCCUCUGUCCCCCUCAUUCCCACAUCACUGUUCACCCACCUCCUAAAUAUAAAAUUAAUCCAUAGAGCCCUAGGCUGGGUGUGAGGGGUCCUUUGAGGCUGAGACAGUGGAAGCCUCACCCAGGCCAGUCCAGCCCUCCAGACUUUGCCAGUCACUGAGGUGGGCCCUGGAGCUGGGAGAAGAGACAGCACCUCUGCUAGGCCUCGCCACCUGCCCCCAAUUCUGCCGCUUUGCUCAAGGCCCAGACCUGGAGUGCUGUACUUGAGGCGAGAUUGAUUCCUCAACCUUCAGUGUUUACCAUUCCAGGUUGUUUAUUCCCCCACACCUUGAAUACCCCUCCACUGAGGACUCGGCCUGUGUUUCAUGGGGUGGAGGGUGGGGGGUCAAACAAAGAGUAGGGAACCCUUGGAUUUUUGUUGGGUGUUGCUCUUUUGUUGAACGACUCCAGCCAGAGUUGUCUGCUCCUUUCCAAAGCUGUUUCCCUCCACUUGGUCUCAGGAAGUGGGCAGGGGGCUGGCCAUCUUUGCCCCAUGAGGCUUUGAACCCCAUCAUGCCAGCUGUCCCCUCGCUCCUCUCCAACCAUGACUAGGAGCCUAAGAUUGAUUGUCGGACCUACCCUUGGUGCUGGAGUAUGAAGGAAAAAUGGACAGAGACACUGCCCAUCAGGAAUUGAUGGCCAAGUGGAGGACAGAGGCAAGUAAACAGGUCCUUAUCCUUGCCGCGUGUGGUGUGAAUUCGAUUGCUGUCUGCUGGGCACCGUGCCAGGCCCUGGGCAUGGGUGGUAUUCAGAUAAGGCCCUGCUCUCGUGGAGCAUGUCCUCUCCUACUCAGGUUCCCACUCAGCACUUGCAGUGCUCAGCUUGAGCUUUCCCUACAGCACAGGCCAGCUUAGGAGAUAAAAUGGUCAGGGAGCUCACCCUCUGGAGCAGCCCUAAGCCCGAGAAGGGUGGGAAUUGGUGGGUACACAUGCCAGCUUCCUCCCCCCUUCAGGUGGGACAACCCCAAGGAGUGUUCUACACCACCUGUCAAUCGGGGACUGACCUCAGAGGGAACACAUUUACACACCUGCUCUGGCUUCCUUUCCUUCCCUGUCUCACUUCCUCUCUCAUCUCCAUCAGGAACUAGGAAGGCUCUAUGAUUUCACCCAGCUCACAAGCUUCCAUAUUCCAAGGAUGCUGGUGGAAGAUACAGCACUCCUGCUUGAGAAACAAAGGCUGGAGAGACCUGGGAAAACUCAGGCCCCAGGGGGAUUCCCUAGGAUGCGGUGGGUACCCAACACAGGCAUGAAUCUGCUAGAGAAGCUGAGGAAGACUUCUCAGAAAAGGAGUAUUUGAGUUGGACUUGGAAGGGGCUAAUGCUGAAGCUGAAGCAUCCAAUACUUUGGCCACAUGAUGCAAACAGCCCUGACUCACUGGAAAAGACCCUGAUGCUGGGAAAGAUUGAGGGCAGAAGAGGAUGACAGAGGAUGAGAUGGUUGGAUGGCAUAACCGAUUCAUUGGGCAUGAACUUGGACAAACUCUGGGAGAUGGUGAGGGACAGGGAAGCCUGGUGUGCUGCAGUCCACGGGGUUAUGAAGAGUUGGACACGAUUUGGUGACUAAACAACAACAGUAACAACCCUCUCCACUUUUCACUGUGUGCCCUAGCAGGGCCGGCUCAGCCACACAGGUCUUUGGGCCUCUGCUGACCCAGAUGUAAAGUGGGGGAUGCUGACAGUAAGAUCAAAGGGGACAAACGGUAUACGACUCAAAAAAAAGGCCCCUCUGAGGGCUCCAUACAUGAAAGGUACAAUUUUAUUGUCAUUACAGAAAAAGCAGUGAAAAU